rnacentral:rRNA from 1 species
UACGUAGGGCGCAGGCGUUGUCCGGAAUUAUUGGGCGUAAAGAGCUCGUAGGCGGUUUGUCGCGUCUGCUGUGAAAACUCGAGGCUCAACCUCGGGCUUGCAGUGGGUACGGGCAGACUAGAGUGCGGUAGGGGUGACUGGAAUUCCUGGUGUAGCGGUGGAAUGCGCAGAUAUCAGGAGGAACACCGAUGGCGAAGGCAGGUCACUGGGCCGCAACUGACGCUGAGGAGCGAAAGCAUGGGGAGCAAACAGG